rnacentral:lncRNA from 1 species
UGCCAUGGAGGAGGGCAGGACGGUGCCCGUCUCUCACCCGGGUCUGGCGCAUCAGGGCAUCUGCAGGACGAGGGCCUGUUCACCUUGACGUCGCCGUGGGCAGCCAGGCAGAGCCACGUGACCUCAGGACUGGGGGUGCUCAGAGGAGGCUGAGGGUGGCGAGGUGGCCCCCAGCCUCAUCGUAGGGGUGGCUGGGAGCAGCUCCUGCUGCUGUCGGAGCCUGCCGUCCAGAGGGGGAGGGGGGCGUCUGCCAGAGUGGGGUCCCCGGCCUCCCUGCCUGUCCCCCGGCUGAGGCCCCGGCCGGCUGGGUCUGGGGCAGCGUGGGCCCCCGGCAGCCAGUGCAGGCAGCCCGGGCGCUGGUAUAUACCAGGAAGGAGAGUUCCUGUCCUGAGAAGGUGUCUCUUGCUGGCACGGUGCCUGGGUGUGCGGCUCCCACGGCCCACCACCCGGAAAUCCUCCCGGGCUGCAGCCUGUCACUGCGGGCUGCAGAGAACCGGAGCCGCCCAGCCAGACGCCCUCGCCUCUGUCACCUCUCUGUCACCCUGAGGCCCAUCCCAAACUGCCUUCCGGGCAAGCAGUGGGAGGUUAGAGGAGCCGGCUGCGGGAGGACACCUCCUGAGGUCUGGAGGGAAGGGGCCGUCCACUGGGCAUGGGUCCCUUCCAGCGACAGGCAGUGUCCGACCAAGUCCUGGGGAGCACACGGCCUGGCAGGGCUGUCCCCGCCUCCCCUCACGCACCCUGCUGACCCCUUCUCUCCCCGGCACCGCAUCCUCUUGUCCAGGCCAUGGAGACGUGGCUCCCGUUCUGGCUGUGGACGCUCUGUGUCGCCUGGGCGCCAGGGUCCAGCACGGGCUCUGUCUGGGGCACACAGAGGGACGGGGUUCGGAGAUGGACAGCAGAUGCACUCUUGGGCCAGCGGUGCUGAAAGUUACGGCUCAGAUGGAAACUUGCAACGUGGGUGCGUUUUCCUGAUACAAAGCAGGAUCUCUAGAGGAAGCGGGAGAAACUCCCCUGCACCGUCCGAGCGCCCAGCUCAGCGGCACGGAGCCCAGCCACGGCGCUGUGCAGCCGUCACCAAUCCACCUCCGAGACGCUCACCUCUGCGUGCUGAGCCCGGCCCCUCCCCCCGCCCCGGCGCCCCUGCAUUCCGCGUCCAUCUCUCGGGUCUCUGCUUGUCUUUCAUGCCGGGCGUGAUGCCCGUGAUGUCAUCAAGGUCCACUCAACUGGGCCUGGCAGACAACCCCCUCCACCCUGUGUGAGGCAGAGAAAGGCACCCACGUGGACACUGCG